CAAUACAGGGUCGUGGGCGCGUGGCGAACGGGUGCGUAACACGUGGAUAACCUUCCUUCAGGUGGGGAAUAACCCAGUGAAAAUUGGGCUAAUACCGCAUAACAUGACGAUGCCACAUGGUGUUGUCUUCAAAGCCGCAAGGCGCCAGAAGAGGGAUCCGCGGCCGAUUAGCUUGUUGGCGAGGUAAUGGCUCACCAAGGCUUUGAUCGGUAGCCGGACUGAGAGGUUGGCCGGCCACACUGGAACUGAGACACGGUCCAGACUCCUACGGGAGGCAGCAGUGGGGAAUCUUGCGCAAUGGGGGAAACCCUGACGCAGCAACGCCGCGUGGAGGAUGAAGUCCUUCGGGACGUAAACUCCUUUCGAUCGGGACGAUUAUGACGGUACCGGAAGAAGAAGCCCCGGCUAACUUCGUGCCAGCAGCCGCGGUAAUACGAGGGGGGCGA
rnacentral:rRNA from 1 species